CUCGCCCACAACUAUUCAACUAACUUUUAAUAAUUUGACAACGUGUCAUAUUUUUGUGCAAAGCGGGCCCAUUUUUGUGGGUGAUAUAAUAAUGGCGUAUGUGGUUUGUCAAGACAUAUACUCAUUUAUCCAUUAGCAGUUAGGUAAGUCACCUCACUCACCCACAGCCUAACACAUCAACAAAUAUUGCUUACAAAUUCUAGAAAAUUCGACCAAGAAAAAAAACCAAAUGCUCGCAAAUUAAAAUUGUGUAACAUGAUUAGUUUUUUAUCCAUUAGUAUUAAUUUUACGUUGGAAGAAAUUCCAAAUUUAUUCUUGUAAAGAGGGAUAUGAAAAUACUUUGUAUGUCUAUCACCAAAAUCUUCGAAUGUUUGAAUGGUUGAUUUUCAAGUCUCACACAAUUGGAUUUAGUUCAAGUGAGAAAGAAAUACACUCAAACUAUUAGAUAUGAGGAAUGAAAAUACACUACAAAAUCUUGUGAACAUUUCUAAUAUUCUCUUCUAUCUACUUUUUGUGAACCAAGUUUUUAUUUGUUUUUUUUUUUAACAAAAGAUAUUUUUUAUACUAGGGAAAUAAGGUGGGUUUAGCCUCAUAAUGGGCUAACAUAAUCUAGUUCAAACUUGCAUUUGGUGAGAAUCGAACCUAAAAUCUCUCACUUACAAGUGAAGAGGAAUACCAUUAGAAGUGUCAUGAAAUUAGCAGUCUUAUAUGUAAAAAAUUGAUUGACUAAAUGCUGUGUUAAAAAACAAGAUUAAUACUUGCAUCUCCCCACUUGGAAAAUGCAAAUAUUUCAUUUCUUGCAAAUAACGUAUAUCAUGCGUUCUGUUCAAUCGCAUAUUCAAAAAUGUUAAAAACAAGAUUAAUAUUUCUAUCUCCCCACUUGGAAAAUGCAGUAUUUCAUUUUUUACGAAUAACGUAUAUCCUGUGUUCCGUCCAAUCGCGUAUUAAAAAAAUGUGUGAAGUUUGGAUUAACUACACUCUUUGAGAAUUUCCUUAAAUAACCACUUUUUGAAAAUUUCUUAUAGGACUAAGUGAGUCUCCGCUGAGAAUUUCCUUAACUAACACAACACUACUUGAGUGAUAAUUUGUUAUAUCUUGAAUAGAGAAUAAAUCAGUUCCCUACUUUUGAAGGUACUAUUAACUUACACUAUAUUUGAAUGAGAACAAUAAACUUAGAAUUUAGAUGAAGGAAAUAAAACAGUUUCCUACUUUUGAAGGUACUACUCGAGUGAUAAUUUGUUAUAUCUUGAUAACGUGUCAUAUUUUUUUGCUAAGCGGACCCAUUUUUGUGGGGUGGUAUAAUAAUGGCGUUUGUUGUUUGUCAAGGGCAUAUACCCAUUUAUCCAUUAGCAGUUAGGUCACCUCACUCACCCACAACCUAGUACAUCAACAAAUAUUGCUUACAAAUUCUAGAAAAUUCAACCAAGAGAAAGAAAACCAAAUGCUCGCAAAUUAAUCUGUGUAACAUUAGUUUUUAUCCAUUAGUAUUUAUUUUACAUUGGAAGAAAUUCCAAAUUUAAUCUCGUAAAGAGGGAUAUGAAAAUACUUUGUAUAUCUAUUAUCAAAAUCUUUGAAUGUUUGAAUGAUUGAUCAUCAAGUCUCACACGAUUGAAUUUAGUUCAAGUGAGGAAGAAAUACACACAAACUAUUAUAUAUGAGGAUUGAAAAAUACACUACAAAAUCUUGUGAUAACAUUUCUAAUAUUCCUUUCUAUCUACAUUUUGUGAUAAGUUUUUUUUUUCCUUUUUUGAACAAACUAUAUUUAUCUACAUUAAGGGAGAGGAGGUGAUCUUAGCCUCACAAUGGGCUAGCAUAAUGUGGUUCAAAUUCGCCUUUGGCGAUAAUCGAACCUAAAACUUAUCAUUUACAAGUAAAUAGGAAUACCACUAGAUGGAUCAUGAAAUUAGCAGUCUUAUAGGUAAAAAAAAAUUGAUCGACUAAAUGAUGUGUUAAAAAACAAGAUUAAUACUUGCAUCUCUCCACUUGAAAAAUGUAGAUAUUUCUGUGAACACGGAAAAUUCCUGAAACGAAAGAGACAAGAACAACGUGCACAAAAUAAUAUUUUGGUGUUAAUGGAUUUGUUGGGUUACGAUCUCUUUUAACUUGAUCCUCUGAUUCGAUCUCCGUAAGGUGUUGAUUUAUGGAUGUUUCGUUGAUCCAAGGGCUGUUGAGGCUUGAUCUUAGAUGAACUGUUGGAAGUUUCUUCAAGGGGCCGUGGGCUUGAUCUUUGAAGGUGGAUUUGAGCGGAUCUUCAAGGAGCCGUUGGGGCUUGAUCUUGAGGAUGAGUGUUUCUUCAAGGGCCGUUAAGGCUUGAUCUUGAAUAACGGUGAUGAACGGAUCUUCAAGGGCUUUUGGGCUUGAUCUUGAAGAACGGUUGGAUGUGUGGAUUUGUUGAUGUUGUUGAUCCAAGGGCCGUCGGAGCUUGAUCUUGGAAGAACGAUGAACGAAGAACGAAGAACACUUUCUUCAAAGGCCGUCGGGGCUUGAUCUUGAAUUGGUGAUUGUUGAUCCAAGGGCCGUCGGGGCUUGAUCUUGGAAGAACGAUGAACGAAGAACGAAGAACACUUUCUUCAAGGGCUGUCGGGGCUUGAUCUUGAAUUGGUGAUUGUUAAUCCAAGGGCCGUCGGGGCUUGAUCUUGAUUCUUCGGGAUGAACGGAUGAUGAACAAUGAACACUUUCUUCAAGGGCCGUCGGGGCUUGAUCUUGAAUUGGUGGAAGUUCUUCAAGGGCCUUUGGGGCUUGAUCUUGAAGGUGGAUGAUUGUUGAUCCAAGGGCCGUCGGGGCUUGAUCUUGGGAUGAACAGUUGUGUGGAUUUGUUGAACACUUUCUUCAAGGGCCGUCGAUGCUUGAUCUUGAAUUGGUGGAAGUUCUUCAAGGGCCGUUGGGGCUUGAUCUUGAAGGAGGAUUUGACGAAGAACGAAGAGGGCUUUCUUGAUCCUUCGGGAUUUGCUUGAAUUUGGGAGGUUGGAUGCUUGAAAGCUUUAGAGUUUCAAAGCUUCAAGGAUUUUGGAUGUGUGGGGAGUAUUCUCUUCCAUUUUGGGAGUAGAGAAAUGUAUUUGUGAAUUGGUUUUUGAUACCUUGAUGUAGAAGCCUAUUUAUAGGCUUUGAGAAUGAAUCACCACCACAAAAUAUUUUUUUUCUUUUCCAAGCACCAUUGCCUAAUUUCCCACUUAAUACAAUUUUAAACUUGAAGUGGUAAUUUUAUGGCCUAAUUUUCCACUUAAUAUCAUUUUAAACUUGAUAUGUGCAUGCUUUGUCAUUGCCCAAAAUGAGAAGAAAACCUUGUUUUGAUCUUCAAUGAAUUGAAAUGUGCUUGCCUUGUCAUUGCCCAAAAUGAGAAGAAAAACUUGUGUAAUCCUUCAAGGGUAUUUCUUUUUAUUUUGUUGAGUCGCACACCAUGUGUACAAUUUGUAUGACACGUGGCAUAUGCCAUGUACGCCUUGACACGUCAAAAUUUUAAUGCGUUGGUGAACAUUUAUUUCACCGCAAUUUCGGUGUCUACAAAUGCCCCCACUUCAAGGUGCGUCGUAUACAUGUGCUUGUCACGUGUAGGAGAUGCGUUUUGAAGUCCCUUACUGUAGAUGUCAAUCCAAUGGCCAUCGAGGCUUGAUCUUGAAUUGGGCUGGAGAUUUCUUCAAGGGCCGUUGAGGCUUGUUCUUGGACUUUGUUUGAAAUUUCUUCAAGGGCCAUCGAGGCUUGAUCUUGAAGGUUGAAAUUGGACCACAAGGAGCUUCAUGUGGUAGAUGAUCUUUGGCUUUGGUAGUGGAUGAAUCGGCACGUAUUUGUUUUUGCGCUUUGUUGACUUUCCACAGCUUUGAUCUUGAACUGGGUUGGAGGAUUUUUUGGAUUCCUCCAAUUGUUGAUUUUCCACAGUUUAUUCUUGAACUGGAUUUGAUUCAAAUAUGGUGGACGCUUGAUCUUGAAUCGGACUUGUGAUUUCCUCAAGGGCCGUCGAGGCUUGAUCUUGAAUUUGGCCGGAAACUUCUUCAAGGGCCGUUGAGGCUUGAUUCUUGAAGGUUGACUCGAACACAUGGCAAGCAGGCACGAGGUGAAGGUGACGACUUGUUGCUUUGUUCAAUCUUUCUAAUUCACACCUGAGCAGUUUGGUCAACGGUAUGAUCUUCAAGAUUGAUGGGCUCUUCUUCCAGUUGGUGAUUUGAUCUUUAAGGAUUUGAUUCAAGGGUGGUGAAACGGCACAUGCAGCCCACAACGCCUAGCAAGUCGACCCAAGAAUUUGAGGGUUAAAACGAGUCCUCCACCCAGAGUGAUUGCAAACCUGAUGAUAUGAGAUACUUUUGAUUUUGAAGAAGUAGCGGAUGAAUCGGCACGUGCUUUGUUGUGCUUGUCUCCACAUGCUUCAAUGUAUCAUUUUCCCUUGUCUUAUCUAUUCUUCUAGCAGAAUGUAGCAUCUUCUUAAGUUCUUCAACUCAGACUCCUUCUGCUGAGCUGACUGUGCAGGCUGCAUUAUUCUCUGCUUGUUUCUUUAGGCAGAUGUGGCAGCUUCUUGAGUUCCUCAGCUCGGACUCCUUCUGCUGAGCUGAUUGUGAAGACUGCAUUCUUAUCUGCUUGUUUCUUCUGUACGUUGUCUCCACAUGCUGCAAGGUAUCAUUUUCAAUUGCCUUAUUUGUUUUCCAGGCAAAUGUGGCAUCCGAGUUUGAGUGGAGGUUCUGGCAUAUUGUUUUCUUUAUCCUUGUCUUUGUAGGUAAGAACAAGGACAAAGGAAAGGACAGGGAGAACGCAUGAUAUGAUAUACUCUUGCUUUCUACCCUGGUGAUAUGAGAUACUUUUGCUUUGGUGUCAUUUGUUUGCAGAGGUACCCCAAGGAAUAAGAAACACUGAGUGACUCGAGAGGCUUUGUUGGGAAGGCAUUCUAGGAGAUGAAGAAAGGUUCUUGGAGAUGAAGAAAGGUUCUCGGAGAUGAAGAAAGGUUAUGUAUGUCUGCCUUGCUAUGGAGGGUAAAGGUGGACAGUUAUAGGAAAUUCUUUAGUACCUGUAGAGGUACUAUUCUUUUACUCGUGUCGGCAACCAAUGUGUGAUUGAUCAGUAUGGCUUCACGUGUUUUCUUCUUUAUCAGAAAUCUUCGACAAAUUGUCCGUAAUUUUCGUCAAGCUGAGUGUGCAUGUGACAGGUGUUGACGAGGCUGAAAAAGACUGGUGCCUCUUCGAUAUCUGGGAUCGGCGCUUCGACAAAUUGCCCGUGAUUUCCGCAAAGCUGAGUUUGCGCGUGACGGGUGCUGACGAGGCUGAAAAAGACUGGCGCCUCUUCGAUAUCUGGGAUUGGCGCUUUAACAAAUUGCCCAUGAUUUCUGCAAAGCUGAGUUUGCACGUGACGGGUGCUAACGCGUCUGGAAAAGCAAGAUGCUUCUCCGAUUUCUGAGCUUGCCUCUUUGAUUUUUGAAUUGGCCUCUUCGAAUUCUGAGCUCGCCUCUUCGAUCUUUGAAAUCCCAUCGAGUGUUGAUCUUUAUAGAGGCACGCAGUUCGUUUCAAAGCACACUUGAAUUUUCGCUUGUAGAAACUCCCUUCUUGCACUUCUAAGAUCUUGAUUUGUCCGACCUCUUCUUUCUUCAACACCUUUGAAAAUGUCUGGACCCUCCGACCGUCAUUUUGAUUUGAACCUUGGUGAAGAGGUAGUCCCGUCUUCUCCAGAUAACAUAUGACGCCCAUCUUUCAUAUCCCCUACUGGUCCUCUUACCGUUGGGGAUUCGGUGGUGAAGAAUGAUAUGACCGCUGCGGUGGUGGCCCGAAACCUUGUCACUCCCAGAGAUAACAGACUACUUUCCAAACGGUCUGAUGAGUUGGCUGUUAAGGAUUCUCUGGCUCUCAGUGUGCAGUGUGCAGGUUCUGUGUCUAAUAUGGCCCAACGCCUAUUUGCUCGAACCCGUCAAGUUGAAUCAUUGGCGGCUGAAGUGAUGAGUCUCAAACAGGAGAUAUUAGAGGGCUCAAGCAGAGAGAUAAACAGUUGCAUAAGCUCGCACAUAGCUAUGCGACAAACAUGAAGAGGAAGAUUAACCAGAUGCAGGAAUCUGAUGGUCAGAUUUUACUUGAUCAUCAGAGGUUUGUGGGUUUGUUCCAGCAGCAUUUGCCUUCGUCUUCUGGGGCUGUACCGCGUAAUGAAGCUCCAAAUGAUCAACCCUUGGCUCCUCUUCUUCCUGGAGUUCCGCCGAGUGGUGUGGCUUCAAACAGUCAACCUCCGACGCCUCUCAUUUCUGGAGCUCUGCUGAGUGGUGAGGUGGCACCUAAUCGUCCUUGAAGAUCCCCUCUUGUAAAUUUGAUUUGAUUUUUUUUUAAGUAUGUAUAAUGCAAAUUUAUGUAAAAUUUCCAGAAAAAAUAAAUAAAAACGGACUUUAUUUCUCUCAAUGCAUUUGUUUUGUUUUGUUUUUGUUUUUUUUGUUUUUUUGUUUUUGUUUUUUUUGUAAAUACAUAAUAACAUAUGUAUUUAUUUAUUUAUUCUUUUGUAAUAAAAUUGACUUUCUUUAAUAAAACUUUUAUAUUUUUCUUAUUUAUUUUGAUAUGACUGAACUCGAAAUUGAAUGUUCGAGCCGCCUACGUACCCUUCCAAAGAAGAGAUCAAGCCAUAACGUAGUUCAAAUGAGUGAUGAAUUUAAUAGUGAUUUUGAUGAUGAUUUUGCCGUACACAGUUUAUGCUCUUGUGGGCCAGGAGCUUUGGUGUUGCCUUUUAUGCUCGUGCAGACCAGGAGCGUUGAUGUCGCCUUUUAUGCUCGUGUGGGUCAGGAGCGUUGAUGUUGCCUUUUAUGCUCGUGCAGACCAGGAGCUUUGUGCCAUGCAGUUUAGACUCGUGCGGGCAAGGAGCUUUGGUUCGUGCAGUUUAGGCUCAUGCGAACAAGGAGCAUUGGUUCGUGCAGUUUAGGCUCGUGCGAACAAGGAGCAUUGGUGUUGCCUUUUAUGCUCGUGCAGACCAGGAGCUUUGUGCUAUGCAGUUUAGACUCGUGCGGGUGAGGAGAAUUUGUGAAUUUUGUCAAGCACUUUUGGAGAGGCGUUCCUUACAAUCUUCAUAGCAAGGAGCCUUGACCGAGUGAUUGAAGAAGUCUUCGGGAAAGAAGUCGCACAUCGUGAUGGCAACAGACGAUCUUUGUGUCGUAAUUUCAUCAUCUUCAACACGUUCACGUUGCUUUGAAGGUUGACAAGAGCUGCUUUGCCCCCUUUCCGAUUGGCGGACUUGUGGAGGAGACGUAUGCUUCUUGUGCCAUUUCUUAGGAGUGACUUGAGUCCAUCCUUCAAGUUUGCUUGUUUUGGAGGAUGCCCCCGGCGGUUGAGGUGAAAAUUUUGUGUUGAAAGAGCCAGAAGUGAUGGUGGUAUAGUUUGACUUCACCACAUCGUCAAGAUCUAGCUCGAUGAUUCCUUUCUGAGCCCACUUUAUGAUGAGAUCUUUCAGCACAAAGCACUUUUCUGUCGGAUGACUGAUGAAGCGGUGGAAUUUACAGUAUCUUGGACUGUUGGUACGAUUCAUCUCUUCCGGCCAUCUGCACUCAGGCAAACUGAUCACCUUCUUGUCCAACAGGUCAUCCAACAUGGCAACCACAUCAGAGUCAGGGAAUGGAUAAGUCUUCUCUUUAAGCUCCUUCAAAGUGCGUCUACGCAUCUCUUGAUCACGAAAAGCUUCGGUUUGAAUCGUUUUGCCUCGUGUGGAGAUUUUGACGGGAGAUGUGUUGACUGUCAUUGCUUCCUUGGUGGAUUUCCACGUAGCCUUCUCCACCUUUGUCUCAAGAAUUUUGUCGUUCUUGUAGUCGGCGAUCGGUUCCUUCUUCCCAUGAUGGGUGAUGCUCAACUCCAUGUCAUGGGCGUGGGUGGCCAAUUCCUCGAAGGUCCGUGGUUUAAUGCCUUGAAGGAUGUAUUGCAAACCUCAUUGCAUGCCUUGGAUGCACAUCUCGAUUGAAGAGGUCUCCGAGAGCCUAUCUUUGCAGUCGAGGCUUAGAGUGCGCCAUCUGUUGAUGUAGUCAAUGACCGGCUCAUCUUUCCAUUGCUUCAUACUUGUGAGCUCCAACAUGCUUACAGUGCGGCGGGUGUUGUAGAAGCGGUUGAGGAAUUCCCGCUCCAAUUGCUCCCAGCUGUUGAUGGACUCAGGCUCUAGGUCCGUGUACCACUCAAAUGCGUUUCUUUUCAGCGAGCGCAUAAACUGCUUGGCGAAGUAGUCCCCCUCCGUCCCCGCGUUGUUGCAAGUUUUGACGAAAUGUGCAACGUGCUGCUUUGGGUUUCCUUUUCCAUCAAACUGCAUGAACUUUGGUGGUUGAUAUCCCAUCGGCAUCUUUAGGGCAUCAAUCUUCUUUGAAUAAGGCUUUGAGUACAACCCGGAGGUAUUUGAGCUCCCUUCGUACUAUGCCUUGACGGUGCUGGCAAUCAUCUCUUGCAACUGUUGGAUAGAAAGAGAUCCCAUGAGUGCCGCUUCUUGGUCUGGCUCCGGCUUCACAUCGAUUUUCUCCACCGUAGGCUCAUCUUCUGGGUUAGGGUUCUCGCUGUCCUGUGGCUCCAGUUGACUGAUGAGUGCAGCGAUUUGCAAGUCUUUUUCUUCCACAGUUCGGGUUAGCCUUGCGAUUGCUUCAUUCAUUUGAGCCAGUUGUUCUUCGAUGGAGGUAACGCCGAUGGUCAUGACUUGUGCAACCAAUAGACGUGACUUUCCUUUAGACAUCCAAGAUGCUGAAGAAGAACGUCAUUGGUUGUUUUGGGAUGUCAUCUUGUGUGCCUCAGCAACAUGCUUUGGUGCCCCCAGCGAGGUCAGGUUGAUGACAGACUCACACCUUUGAUGCUCCCUUUGCUCUUUUAGCGGCACCAACUUUGAAGUGGCAUGUUAAGGAGCGGUUGUGGUGCUAAUGGAUUGUCCAUUUGCGGCAGAAGUGCUUAGGAUCCUUCCCUCAGUGAUUGCGAGAACGGCUUGUCCCUUGCUUGAUGCCAUUGAUUUUGAGGUGUGUUUGGAUUCCUUAAACGGAGAAAGAUAUGAGAGGUAGAGAUUGUCCCACCGGGCGUGCCAAUUUGUGAACACGAAAAUUUCCUGAAACGAAAGAGACAAGAACAACGUGCACAAAAUAAUAUUUUGGUGUUAAUGGAUUUGUUGGGUUACGAUCUCUUUUAACUUGAUCCUCUGAUUCGAUCUCCGUAAGGUGUUGAUUUAUGGAUGUUUCGUUGAUCUAAGGGCCGUCGAGGCUUGAUCUUGGAUGAACUGUUGGAAGUUUCUUCAAGGGGCCGUGGGCUUGAUCUUUGAAGGUGGAUUUGAGCGGAUCUUCAAGGAGCCGUUGGGGCUUGAUCUUGAGGAUGAGUGUUUCUUCAAGGGCCGUUAAGGCUUGAUCUUGAAUAACGGUGAUGAACGGAUCUUCAAGGGCUUUUGGGCUUGAUCUUGAAGAACGGUUGGAUGUGUGGAUUUGUUGAUGUUGUUGAUCCAAGGGCCGUCGGGGCUUGAUCUUGGAAGAACGAUGAACGAAGAACGAAGAACACUUUCUUCAAAGGCCGUCGGGGCUUGAUCUUGAAUUGGUGAUUGUUGAUCCAAGGGCCGUCGGGGCUUGAUCUUGGAAGAACGGUGAACGAAGAAUGAAGAACGAAGAACACUUUCUUCAAGGGCCGUCGGGGCUUGAUCUUGAAUUGGUGAUUGUUAAUCAAAGGGCCGUCGGGGCUUGAUCUUGGAAGAACGAUGAACGAAGAACGAAGAAGGCUUUCUUGAUUCUUCGGGAUGAACGGAUGAUGAACAAUGAACACUUUCUUCAAGGGCCAUCGGGGCUUGAUCUUGAAUUGGUGGAAGUUCUUCAGGGCCUUUGGGGCUUGAUCUUGAAGGUGGAUGAUUGUUGAUCCAAGGGCCGUCGGGGCUUGAUCUUGGGAUGAACAGUUGUGUGGAUUUGUUGAACACUUUCUUCAAGGGCCGUCGAUGCUUGAUCUUGAAUUGGUGGAAGUUCGUCAAGGGCCGUUGGGGCUUGAUCUUGAAGAAGGAUUUGACGAAGAACGAAGAGAGCUUUCUUGAUCCUUCGGAAUUUGCUUGAAUUUGGGAGGUUGGAUGCUUGAAAGCUUUAGAGUUUCAAAGCUUCAAGGAUUUUGGAUGUGUGGGGAGUAUUCUCUUACAUUUUGGGAGUAGAGAAAUGUAUUUGUGAAUUGGUUUUUGAUACCUUGAUGUAGAAGCCUAUUUAUAGGCUUUGAGAAUGAAUCACCACCACAAAAUAUUUUUUUCUUUUCCAAGCACCAUUGCCUAAUUUCCCACUUAAUACAAUUUUAAACUUGAAGUGGUAAUUUUAUGGCCUAAUUUUCCACUUAAUAUCAUUUUAAACUUGAUAUGUGCAUGCUUUGUCAUUGCCCAAAAUGAGAAGAAAACCUUGUUUUGAUCUUCAAUGGAUUGAAAUGUGCUUUGCCUUGUCAUUGCCCAAAAUGAGAAGAAAAACUUGUGUAAUCCUCCAAGGGUAUUUCUUUUUAUUUUGUUGAGUCACACACCAUGUGUACAAUUUGUAUGACACGUGGCAUAUGCCAUAUAUGCCUUGACACGUCAAAAUUUUAAUGCGUUGGUGAACAUUUAUUUCACCGCAAUUUCGAUGUCUACAAUUUCAUUUCUUGUGAAUAAUGUUUAUCCUGUGUUCUGUCCAAUCGCGUAUUAAAAAAUGUGUGAAGUUUGGAUUAACCACACUCUUUUAGAAUUUCCUUUAUUUACCACUUUUUGAGAAUUUCCAAUAAGACUGGGUGAGUCUCCGCUGAGAAUUUCCUCAACUAACACCACACUACUUGAGGGAUAAUUUGUUAUAUCUUUGAAUAAAGAAUAAAACAGUUUCCUACUUUUGAAGGUACUAUUAACUUACACUAUAUUUGGAUGAAGGUCAAACUUUAUAAAUUGACAUACACCAAAUUCUUUGUUUGGAUUCAUAAACAUAUAAAUUUAGAAUUUCCGCGUGGAAAAAAAAAAUACUUAGAAUUUGAGACCUCCAAUUCUCAAAUUGAAAGUUUAAAAAUAAUAAAUUCCGUAUUCAAUUCAAUUGUUCUUUUAGGUUAACCAAAUAAGAAAAUUCACAAAUUCUAAAAUAUAAAAUCUCAUCAUUUCAAUUUCCGUCAUUUUAAAAUUCCUUAGUAAUAUUAAAUUUCUUCAUCCAAACAUAGUGUUAAGAAAUUUUUUAAAGAUACACUAUUUACACUCAUUUUUAUUUCUUACACAUUUAUUAACUUUGUCCAUUGAUUUCUUCAAUUCAUUUUGCCAGUUAUACAAAAAUUGAGAACAGUAUUUAUGAAUUAAAAAUACAUUUGUAGAUGUCACUACCAAAUUUUUAUUCCUAAUUCAAGAAAAUCUUAUCCAUAUAUGAUUGCCCUUGCCCACUUUAAAUGGGUGCCAUCACUUUACGAUAGAGCAAUCCUAACCGUCCACCUAGGUAAGCAUAACUGGCGAUGCAUGUCGCAAGGGGACCGCAUUGCACAAUAUAAUUAUACUAGUUGAUAAGACAAGUGAUGUCAAUCAAUAAAUUAUUUCAUUAAAACUUAGUUGUAUGUAUCAUAUGUUGUAAUGUAGGGUGUAUGAUAUGCUGACGCUGUAAAAAAAUGUAACCUUUUUAAUAUUACUCAUAAUAGUAAGACUUACCAGUAUUAGGAUGUUAUCAGUGGAAUGAGAAUCCUCUCCAGAUCUUUUUUGUGAGCUAUUAUUUGUAUUUAAUUUUAAAUAUAAAAAAUUAAAAUAAUUUAUGACGGCAGUGAUUCACAUGAUCUUCACAAAGAGAAUCCAAAUAAUCUUAAUUUAUAUCAGUGUGUCUAGAUAACAUGAUCGAGCCCCUUUACUUUUACCCUAUUUAGUAUUUUACAUUUGAACCUGUAAAUAUUCGAUUUUUCUUUGGUGCAACCGAGCACCAAAUAUAGAUUUUUUUUCACUUUUAUAUAAUGAUAAAUAAAGGGCAAUUGGCAGAUUUGAAUUCCAUUCGGAUUGGUCAAAAAUCAUUUUAAAUUGUUUUAUUUAAAAUUAAACACAUAUAGUACUUAAUAAAAAUUAGUCGUACAAUAUACGAUAAACAGAUAUAAUGUAAGGACCUUUAUGAUCUUCACAAAAAAGAUCCAAAGGUUGUGUAGCUGUUUCAAAAGGAUAAUACUCACUUUUGAUUAGUUCAAUGAAAUUUUAAACAUGUUUUAUUGUUUUAAAAAAUAAUAAACAUAUUUAUUAAUGUUUGUUUUACUUUAAAAAAUAAGCAGCACUUGACAACAUUUGAUUGUGCUAAAUAAAAAAUGAGUGACCACUUAGUACUACAGUCUUAUGAUAUUUUUCUUCAUUUGAAAGUGAGAGGUUUUAAGUUCGAAUCUCGUGGAUGACGAAUUUGAUAUCAAAUUAGAUUGCUCACUAUGUGGCUUAGCCGAACUCUCAUUUCCUUUAAUGUAAAAAUAUUGAUGUAUUCAAAAAAAUAAAAAGUGACUAUAGAGGACACUCAAUCUCAGCUGUAUGAUUAAAUCAGACGGUAAGAAAAAUUCUGCAAGCAUACUCGGUUACAUUAAUUGAAGAAAAAAUGGGUAAAUAUUGGGCACCAACGUUAUAAAUACCCUCCACCAUGCACCCAACUCCCUCACACCAUCACAACCCACGUUACAAAUCCUCCUCCUCAUCAUAACCAUUCUGUUUUCCGCAUAAUAUCCAAAAACCUAUCAUGUCUGAAGAGAAACACCACCGCGGUCUCUUCCACCACCACAAGGAUGAAGACAAACCCUCAGACUACCCUCAGUCUGGCUACUCUGAUGAAGGACGUCCCGGCGGCCUCGGUGGUGGUUACGGCGACACCAAUGAUUAUUCUGGUGAAGGACGUACCGGCGGCCUAGGUGGUGGCUAUGGCGACACCAAUGCUUAUUCUGGUGAAGGACGUCCCGGCGGCUAUGGCGGCUAUAACGAGACCACUGCUUACUCUGAGGAAAGAGUUGAAAGACCCGGCGGUGGCCGGUACAGUGAGACUACUGCGGCAUAUGGCAGCACCACCACUCAUGAAUCUGAACUUGAUUACAAGAAGGAGGAGAAGCACCACAAGCAU
rnacentral:lncRNA from 1 species